rnacentral:rRNA from 1 species
CAUGGCUUUUUGAUUAUAAUUUAAGGUCUGACCUGCCCUAUGAAUUAAAAAUUUAAAUGGCUGCGGUACUUUGACCGUGCAAAGGUAGCAUAAUAAUUAGUUUCUUAAUUGGGAACUGGAAUGAAUGGUCGAACGAGAAAAAGACUGUCUCAAUUUAAUUUAAAUUAGAAUUUUAUUUUUAAGUAAAAAAGCUUAAAUAAUUUUAAAAGACGAGAAGACCCUAUAGAGUUUUAUAAAUUUAUAAUUAUUUGAAAGUUAAAGUAUUAUAGAUUUGAAUAGUUGUAAAUUUAUUUGGUUGGGGCGAUUAAAAAAUUGAAAUAACUUUUUUUAAAUAAAAACAUUGAUGUAUGAAUAAGUGAUCCAUUAAUAAUGAUUAUAAGAUUAAAUUACCUUAGGGAUAACAGCGUAAUUUCUUUUGAGAGUUCUUAUCGAAAAAGAAGUUUGCGACC